rnacentral:rRNA from 1 species
UACGAAGGGGGCAAGCGUUGUUCGGAAUUACUGGGCGUAAAGGGCGCGUAGGCGGCCGAUCAAGUCAGGCGUGAAAUUCCCGGGCUCAACCUGGGGGCUGCGCUUGAUACUGAUUGGCUUGAAUGCGGGAGAGGAUAGUGGAAUUCCCAGUGUAGAGGUGAAAUUCGUAGAUAUUGGGAAGAACACCGGUGGCGAAGGCGGUUCUCUGGGCAUGACCUGACGCUGAGGAGCGAAAGUGUGGGGAGCGAACAGG